UAACACCAGUAGUCCUGGAACCAGAAGUGACAGCCAAAAGGAUCAACGUUGCCAAAUCCUGUCUCAUCUUGGCCAGGAGGAGAGUUACCAGGAGACAGAGCAGCUUUCUUGACCAAGGUGGUAAUGACAUGGUUCAUCCACUACUUUGCUCAAGACUUUCAGCAUGGAACCACCACAAAGAUUGCACCUGAUGCUCAGUGUACCUGGCUCAUAAGAUAAACCACUUUGACACAGAAGGAACCUCCCCCCCCCCAUUUUCUUCUUGAUGUAUCACAGUGAAAAUAUUCAUCAUUGCCUGCAUAUCAUGACUGCACAGCUAGGCGGCUUGAGGUAAGUGACCUCACUGCCCUCAUCUCCACCACACUGUGCAGAUGUGCAGACUGUGCUCCAGGGAAAAGCACAAGCUCUCAGCUACCAGAUGACACAAUGAGCUACCCAGGUUGGGAAGGCAAGGUUAUUUUUGUCUAUUGACCAUGGAGAACAAGGAAAAAGACUGGGAUAAAAAAUGUUAUUGGUGACCUGUUAGAAGCAAGUGUCUCAGGCUUUUUACAGGGGCUUAAUCCUGGAACUCAUUAGAUGAAUAUCAGGAAAAUACAGUCCAAUGUAAAGUCUACAUACAUCACGGAAGACACAUAAAUCCAGCCAGCCAUUUGAUUUAGGACAAUCACACAAACUCUCAUCUGAGUGGCAGGAUGACAGCAGAGAUGCCUCAGGAUCCUCAGUAAAGACUGCAAGCAUUCUGAUAGAAGACAGGCUCUGGCACAUGGGAAAGCCUAUAUAUUCCAUAUGAGGAAUGGCCUUGUGUGAUUCAUCCAAAUUAGCUUGAAUCUUUUAGGUUCGCUGGGAUUAAAACGGAGUUCUAAAGGAUUCAGUGGUCUGCUUGGGAAAAUACCCUUCACAUGUCAGCUACCCAGGCAGGGAUACAUAUCGCUCCCUGUUCUUCUCAUAUACUUAGUCAUCUGAGCUAGGGCCUUCUUUAAGACCUUCAGUAUUAUAGAAAGACCACACAGCAGAACACUAUUCUGGAAGAAACAGAGCCCACAAUGAGGCAGGGACGCUUCCAGAGCAAACACUUGACAGGGGCAUCACAGGCCGUUUCUCACAUUAGUGAGAUCAAUACACCAGUGCUGUCACCCAAACUGGCAAUCCUAUCACUUCAGCAGGGAGGCUGCCUCCUACCUGAAACCGUGUGUCAAACUAGUGUGGUAGUUCACUUUGAGGAAGCAAAACAGCCUGCACUUUUCUUUCAGAGAGAUCUUCUGGGGAUUAAAAAAAAAAAAAAAAAAAAAA